CAAGAGUAUUUCAGUUUGGCUUUAUGCCCUCUGAAAAUCUCCACCCUUUGUUUACAUUACCUUUGUUGUUGCCUCGGUGGGUGCUUUAUAGCACCUGGCCGGCAGACACCUUCAAAAAACCCUUGAUUUAAUACUAUAGUCAGAGCUGUAACAAGCAAAAGAUUAAUAAAUCAA
rnacentral:misc_RNA from 1 species